GGCUUAACACAUGCAAGUCGAGGGGCAGCAUGGUCUUUUCUUGCUAAGACUGAUGGCGACCGGCGCACGGGUGAGUAACACGUAUCCAACCUGCCGUCUACUCUUGGACAGCCUUCUGAAAGGAAGAUUAAUACAAGAUGGCAUCAUGAGUCCGCAUGUUCACAUGAUUAAAGGUAUUCCGGUAGACGAUGGGGAUGCGUUCCAUUACAUAGUAGGCGGGGUAACGGCCCACCUAGUCUUCGAUGGAUAGGGGUUCUGAGAGGAAGGUCCCCCACAUUGGAACUGAGACACGGUCCAAACUCCUACGGGAGGCAACAGUGAGGAAUAUUGGUCAAUGGGCGAGAGCCUGAACCAGCCAAGUAGCGUGAAGGAUGACUGCCCUAUGGGUUGUAAACUUCUUUUAUAAAGGAAUAAAGUCGGGUAUGCAUACCCGUUUGCAUGUACUUUAUGAAUAAGGAUCGGCUAACUCCGUGCCAGCAGCCGCGGUAAUACGGAGGAUCCGAGCGUUAUCCGGAUUUAUUGGGUUUAAAGGGAGCGUACAUGGAUGUUUAAGUCAGUUGUGAAAGUUUGCGGCUCAACCGGAAAAUUGCAGUUGAUACUGGAUAUCUUGAGUGCAGUUGAGGCAGGCGGAAUUCGUGGUGUAGCGGUGAAAUGCUUAGAUAUCACGAAGAACUCCGAUUGCGAAGGCAGCCUGCUAAGCUGCAACUGACAUUGAGGCUCGAAAGUGUGGGUAUCAAACAGGAUUAGAUACCCUGGUAGUCCACACGGUAAACGAUGAAUACUCGCUGUUUGCGAUAUACUGCAAGCGGCCAAGCGGAAGCGUUAAGUAUUCCACCUGGGGAGUACGCCGGCAACGGUGAAACUCAAAGGAAUUGACGGGGGCCCGCACAAGCGGAGGAACAUGUGGUUUAAUUCGAUGAUACGCGAGGAACCUUACCCGGGCUUAAAUUGCAGAUGAAUUACGGUGAAAGCCGUAAGCCGCAAGGCAUCUGUGAAGGUGCUGCAUGGUUGUUGUCAGCUCGUGCCGUGAGGUGUCGGUUUAAGUGCCAUAACGAGCGCAACCCUUGUUGUCAGUUACUAACAGGUUCCGUUGAGGACUCUGACAAGACUGCCAUCGUAAGAUGUGAGGAAGGUGGGGAUGACGUCAAAUCAGCACGGCCCUUACGUCCGGGGCUACACACGUGUUACAAUGGGGGGUACAGAGGGCCGCUACCACGCGAGUGGAUGCCAAUCCCCAAAACCUCUCUCAGUUCGGACUGGAGUUUGCAACCCGACUCCACGAAGCUGGAUUCGCUAGUAAUCGCGCAUCAGCCACGGCGCGGUGAAUACGUUCCCGGGCCUUGUACACACCGCCCGUCAAGCCAUGGGAGCCGGGGGUACCUGAAGUGCGUAAGCGCGAGGAGCGCCCUAGGGUAAAAC
rnacentral:rRNA from 1 species